GGGAAAGUAGCUUGCUACUUUUGCCGGCGAGCGGCGGACGGGUGAGUAAUGCCUGGGGAUCUGCCCAGUCGAGGGGGAUAACAGUUGGAAACGACUGCUAAUACCGCAUACGCCCUACGGGGGAAAGAAGGGGACCUUCGGGCCUUUCGCGAUUGGAUGAACCCAGGUGGGAUUAGCUAGUUGGUGGGGUAAUGGCUCACCAAGGCGACGAUCCCUAGCUGGUCUGAGAGGAUGAUCAGCCACACUGGAACUGAG
rnacentral:rRNA from 1 species